AGCAAAUGGAGUCCAGAAACCAUUUUCCAAACGGGGCGGAACCGAAAAGCCAUAUGAGUAGGAAAACC
rfam:Spongiibacterium flavum strain DSM 22638 genome assembly, contig: Ga0070522_104